rnacentral:rRNA from 1 species
UACGUAGGGGGCUAGCGUUGUCCGGAAUCAUUGGGCGUAAAGAGCGUGUAGGCGGUCCGGUAAGUCCGUUGUGAAAGUCAGGGGCUCAACCCUUGAAUGCCGGCGGAUACUGUCGGGCUAGAGUCCGGAAGAGGCAAGUGGAAUUCCUGGUGUAGCGGUGAAAUGCGCAGAUAUCAGGAGGAACACCGAUUGCGAAGGCAGCUCGCUGGGACGUAACUGACGCUGAGACGCGAAAGCGUGGGGAGCAAACAGG